CAGUCGCCGCGGGAAUACGGAGGGGGCUAGCGUUGUUCGGAAUUACUGGGCGUAAAGCGCACGUAGGCGGCUUGGUAAGUUAGAGGUGAAAGCCCGGAGCUCAACUCCGGAAUUGCCUUUAAGACUGCCGAGCUAGUAGGUGAGAGAGGUAAGUGGAAUUCCGAGUGUAGAGGUGAAAUUCGUAGAUAUUCGGAAGAACACCAGUGGCGAAGGCGGCUUACUGGCUCAUUCUAGACGCUGAGGUGCGAAAGCGUGGGGAGCAAACAGGAUUAGAUACCCCGGUAGUCCCUGUCCUUAUACA
rnacentral:rRNA from 1 species